GGACGAACGCUGGCGGCGUGCUUAACACAUGCAAGUCGAACGGAAAGGCCCUGCUUUUGUGGGGUGCUCGAGUGGCGAACGGGUGAGUAACACGUGAGUAACCUGCCCUUGACUUUGGGAUAACUUCAGGAAACUGGGGCUAAUACCGGAUAGGGGCUCCUGCUGCAUGGUGGGGGUUGGAAAGUUUCGGCGGUUGGGGAUGGACUCGCGGCUUAUCAGCUUGUUGGUGGGGUAGUGGCUUACCAAGGCUUUGACGGGUAGCCGGCCUGAGAGGGUGACCGGCCACAUUGGGACUGAGAUACGGCCCAGACUCCUACGGGAGGCAGCAGUGGGGAAUAUUGCACAAUGGGCGGAAGCCUGAUGCAGCAACGCCGCGUGCGGGAUGACGGCCUUCGGGUUGUAAACCGCUUUCGCCUGUGACGAAGCGUGAGUGACGGUAAUGGGUAAAGAAGCACCGGCUAACUACGUG
rnacentral:rRNA from 1 species